rnacentral:sRNA from 1 species
AUUUAAGGUGCCUACAGAAUGUCAACUGGAAU